rnacentral:snRNA from 1 species
AUACCUUCUCGGCCUUUUGGCUAAGAUCAAGUGUAGUAUCUGUUCUUAUCAGCUUAAUCUCUGAUACGCGGCUUACGGGCCGCAUUCCUAAGAUUAACCUUAUUUUUGAACCCUGAGGAAGCACCAUAGCUUGCUAUGACUUCCUCAUAAGUAGCCUCGGUCUUACACAACGCAACCAAGUGCUGCUGGUGCCUA